CAUACACAUGGUUAGCGGAUGUUAAUGCGAGUGUAGCGAAAUGCUUGUGCUUCUAGUUCCGACAAUGCAGUAAUAACCAACAAGUAAUCUAACUAACAAUUCCAAAAAACUACUGUCUUAUACACAGUGUAAGGGGAUAAAGAAUAUGUACAUAAGGAUAUAUGAAUGAGUGAUGGUACAGAGCAGCAUAGGCAAGAUACAGUAGAUGGUAUCGAGUACAGUAUAUACAUAUGAGAUGAGUAUGUAAACCAAGUGGCAUAGUUAAAGUGGCUAGUGAUACAUGUAUUACAUAAGGAUGCAGUCGAUGAUAUAGAGUACAGUAUCUACGUAUGCAUAUGAGAUGAAUAAUGUAGGGUAAGUAACAUUAUAUAAGGUAGCAUUGUUUAAAGUGGCUAGUGAUAUAUUUACAUCAUUCCCAUCAAUUCCCAUAAUUAAAGUGGCUGGAGUUGAGUCAGUGUCAUUGACAGUGUGUUGGCAGUAGCCACUCAAUGUUAGUGGUGGCUGUUUAACAGUCUGAUGGCCUUGAGAUAGAAGCUGUUUUUCAGUCUCUCGGUCCCAGCUUUGAUGCACCUGUACUGACCUCGCCUUCUGGAUGACAGCGGGGUGAACAGGCAGUGGCUCGGGUGGUUGAUGUCCUUGAUGAUCUUUAUGGCCUUCCUGUAACAUCGGGUGGUGUAGGUGUCCUGGAGGGCAGGUAGUUUGCCCCUGGUGAUGCGUUGUGCAGACCUCACUACCCUCUGGAGAGCCUUACGGUUGAGGGCGGUGCAGUUGCCAUACCAGGUGGUGAUACAGCCCGCCAGGAUGCUCUCGAUUGUGCAUCUGUAGAAGUUUGUGAGUGCUUUUGGUGACAAGCCGAAUUUCUUCAGCCUCCUGAGGUUGAAGAGGCGCUGCUGCGCCUUCCUCACGAUGCUGUCUGUGUGAGUGGACCAAUUCAGUUUGUCUGUGAUGUGUAUGCCGAGGAACUUAAAACUUGCUACCCUCUCCACUACUGUUCCAUUGAUGUGGAUCAACCCGGUUAGUAGCCGUUACCGUUCAUUACCAGUGCUCGGUGUCUCUCCAGUGGUGUGGUAAUGUUUCCUCGCUCUGUCUCUCAAUUCAUUUCAAUCCAAGGGGUUUUAUUGGCAUGGAAAACAUAUGUUUACAUUGCCAAAGCAAGUGAAAUAGGUAAUAAACAAAAGUGAAAUAAACAAUACAAAAUAAACAGUUUAACUUUACACUCAAAAAGUUCCAAAAGAAUAAAAGACAUUUCAAAGAUCCUAUUAUGUCUAUAUACAGUGUUGUAACUAUGCGCAAAUAGUAUAAAAGGGAAAAUAAAUAAACAUAAAUAUGGGUUGUAUGGUGAUUCUGCUUCACUGGUUGCCCUUUUCUUGUGGCAGUUUCCACCUCAUUCAUAGCCGCUCUUCUCUCAAUAGCAAGGCUAUGCUCACUGAGUCUGUACAUAGUCAAAGCUUUCCUUAAGUUUGGGUCAGUCACAGUGGUCAGGUAUUCUGCCACUAUAUACUCUCUGUUUAGGGCCAAAUAGCAUUCUAUUGCUGUUUUUUUGUUAAUUCUUUCUAAUGUGUCAAAGUAAUUAUCUUUUUGUUUUCUCAUGAUUUGGUUGGGUCUAAUUGUGUUGCUGUCCUGGGGCUCUGUAGGGUGUGUUUGUGUUUGUGAACAGAGCCCCAGGACCAGCUUGCUUAGUGGACUCUUCUCCAGGUUCAUCUCUCUGUAGGUGAUGGCUUUGUUACAGAAGGUUUGGGAAUCGCUUCUUUUUAGGUGGUUGUAGAUUUGAAAUGCUCUUUUCUGUAUUUUGAUAAUUAGUUGGUAUCGGCCUAAUUCUGCUCUGCAUGCAUUAUUUGGUGUUUCACAUUGUACACGGGGGAUAUUUUUGCAGAAUUUUGCAUGCAGAGUCUCAAUUUGGUGUUUGUCCCAUUUUGUGAAGUCUUGGUUGGUGAGCGGAGUCAUUUUAGCCAGAUCCUAAUUGGUAUGUCAAAUUGUAUGUUCCUUUUGAUGGCAUAGAAGGCCCUUCUUGCCUUUAAAAACAAGUUUUAAUGACUCCAACUUAAGUGUUUGUAAACCUCCUGCUUCAACUGUAUAUAUAAAAAACAAUGGGUACAUAUUGAAGAUGUCCACGUUCAUCCCCAGAAUCUUUUCACAUGUUAAUUUUCUGAAAAUAGCUGUGCAGCAACACCCCCCAUCCAAACUGCCACAGCUUGAGAGGAUCUGCUGAGAAGAAGGGGAGAAACUCCUUAAAUACAGGUGUGCCAAGCUUGUAGCGUCAUACCCAAGAAGACUCCAGGCUGUAAUCGCUGUCGAACGUGCUUCAACAAAGUACUGAGUAAAUGGUCCGAAUGCCUAUGUAAAUGUGAUAUUUCAGUUUAAAAAAUAAAUAAAUUGUAAUACAUUUGCAAACAUUUCUAAAAACCUCUUUUUGCUUUGUCAUUAUGGGGUAUUGUGUGUAUGAUUGAUGAGGAAAAAAUAGAAUUUAAGAAUAAGGCUGUAACGUAACAAAAUGUGGAGAAGGUCAAGGGGAUCUGAAUACUUUCUGAAGGCACUACCCAAGAUGCAUCUGUUCUGGCGGCGGCCCAACGUCUCAUUAAGACACUUUAUGUUGGAGUUUCCCCUAUUUUGGCAGAAACCUGUAUAUCCUGUGUUUAAACCUACAUCUGGGAUAUUUUGAAUAUAGACGUAGUUUAUACUGUACGAGAUGUGGUUUUCCAAAUAUAGUCAUAUGCUAUUCGUUUUGUCUGUAGCCUGUUCAAUACAUUUGCAUCUCUUUACAAUGAAUUAAAAUCACACUUAAAAGGUUUGAAAGUCCAUUGAAUUGUUGAUUUUAUACACAAAUAAAUUAACUCAAUAUGUGAGGUUCUAAUGAAGAGUUAAAAAGAUUAUUACAAUCAAUCAAUCAAUCAUUCAAUUAUUCUACUCUCAAAUAAGUUGAUCAGGGCCAAUAGUCUGUUAUGACCAAUGAUCAGGGCCAAUAGUCUGUUAUGACCAAUGAUCAGGGCCAAUAGUCUGUUAUGACCAAUGAUCAGGGCCAAUAGUCUGUUAUGACCAAUGAUCAGGGCCAAUAGUCUGUUAUGACCAAUGAACAGGGCCAAUAGUCUGUUAUGACCAAUGAACAGGGCCAAUAGUCUGUUAUGACCAAUGAUCAGGGCCAAUAGUCUGUUAUGACCAAUGAUCAGGGCCAAUAGUCUGUUAUGACCAAUGAACAGGGCCAAUAGUCUGUUAUGACCAAUGAUCAGGGCCAAUAGUCUGUUAUGACCAAUGAACAGGGCCGGUUAUUCAAAAACACAAACCGAGAAUCAACAUAACAGCUACAGAAUUCCUCACAAGAUGUGAACAACCAGUACAUGUGCUUGGUAUAUACAUGUACCAAACACCAGAGUCCAUCAAUUUUAAGUGUCUUUCUGUUCUUUUCUACAGAAACCUAAAUGAGUCUUUCACAGGGUGCCAGGAAUCUUACUCCGUGGAAGACACGUCAUCACAGACGUUGGCUGUAGAUCACCUGGGUGGUUGUCUGUCGAUGGACAGUGGAGAUUCAAUGUGGAGAUUCAUCAGAAAAUUGCCAGAAAAUCAGUACUGAUGUUCUGUGGUCAGAGGCGACCACCAGCUGCUUUCAACCAUUCGCCAAACAGUGUGAUUGGUCCAUUAGAACUCGCCCCAGGUGGGUGAUGCAGGGUCGCAGAGCCAAUCAGGACUGUCCAGGAUGUCGGAGAGGGACAAUUCUAUUGGGGGUUCAAUGGCUGGGGUAGACAAGUUCAGAGGGUACAUGGUCAGAGGGUAGGAGAUGGGUGACAGUGUAGGAGCAGGGAUAGUUGGAGGGGCAAGAUUAGUUAUUGGGGUAGUUGGAUGGGCAAGAUUAUUUAUCGAGGUAGUUAGAGGGGAAAUAUUAGUUUUUGGGGUAAUUGGAGAGGAACAAAUAUUGUUUGGGGCAAUCAGAGAGGCAUUAUUAGAUAUUGGGGAAUAUAGAGUGGAAAGCAAAGGGUAGGGGUUAGUCACAUGGGCAGUUGAAGGAACAGUGACGAGAGUGGGGAGUGGUAAACAAGUCCUCUGCCCUCCAGGUACUGGGGCAAGAAGAGAGCCCGGGGUAGUUUGAGGGGACACAGCGGGUGCCGGGGUAGUUUGAGGGGACACAGCGGGUGCCGGGGUGGUUUGAGGUGACACAGCGGGUGCAGGGGUAGUCACAGGGGCAAUAGAUGACGCGGAGGGGGACAGGAUCUGGCAGCAGGGGAUAUUGGCGGGUAUAGACGAGGGCCGGAGGGUGCAGGCAGAUUCAUGUUGCUCAAGGGUGGCUGUGUAGAGCCGGAACUCUCUUCUCAGACCAGCAAUCUCCUUCUCUAGAGCUGAGUUAGAACUUUCCAAGGUCUGUAGAUCCU
ensembl:lncRNA